rnacentral:rRNA from 1 species
AUUGAACGCUGGCGGCAGGCCUAACACAUGCAAGUCGAGCGGAAACGAUGGGAGCUUGCUUCCAGGCGUCGAGCGGCGGACGGGUGAGUAACGCGUGAGAAUCUGCCCAUUAGUGGGGGAAAACUCGGGGAAACUCGAGCUAAUACCGCAUAAUCCCUACGGGGGAAAGCAGGGGACCUUCGGGCCUUGUGCUGAUGGAUGAGCUUGCGUCGGAUUAGCUUGUUGGUGAGGUAAAGGCUCACCAAGGCGACGACCCGUAGCUGGUCUGAGAGGAUGACCAGCCACACUGGGACUGAGACACGGCCCAGACUCCUACGGGAGGCAGCAGUGGGGAAUCUUGGACAAUGGGGGCAACCCUGAUCCAGCCAUGCCGCGUGUGUGAAGAAGGCCUUCGGGUUGUAAAGCACUUUCAGCAGGGAGGAAGGCUUUGGGCUAAUACCCUGGAGUACUUGACGUUACCUGCAGAAGAAGCACCGGCUAAUUUCGUGCCAGCAGCCGCAGUAACAC